GAUGAACGCUGGCGGCGUGCCUAACACAUGCAAGUCGAACGAACAGACUAUUAUCUUUUUCUUCUGACGUUAGCGUCUGGCGGGUGAGUAACGCAUGGAUAAGCUACCUAUAAGUCUUGGGUCACUUCGAGAAGCCUGAGCUAAUACAACAUCAUAUAAUGCACCGCAUGCUUCAAUAGUCAAAGACUGCUUUGCUGUCACUUCUAGAUGUAUCCGUGCCGCAUUAGUUAGUUGGUAAGGUAACGGCAUACCAAGGCCACGAUGCGUAGCAGACAUGAGAGGGUGAUCGGCCAAACGGGAAGUGAGACACGGUCCAGACUCCUACGGGAGGCAGCAGUAGGGAAUCUUACGCAAUGGGCGAAAGCAUGAUGGAGCAACACCGCGUGAGUGAUGAAGGUCUUCGGAUCGUAAAGCGCUGUUAUUAGGGAAGAAGAAAAGCGUAAGUAACAAUGAAGGUCUUGACGGUACCUAAUGAGAAAGCAACGGCUAACUACGUG
rnacentral:rRNA from 1 species